rnacentral:rRNA from 1 species
GUAGCGGUGAAAUGCGUAGAGAUCUGGAGGAAUACCGGUGGCGAAGGCGGCCCCCUGGUACAAAGACUGACGCUCAGGUGCGAAAGCGUGGGGAGCAAACAGGAUUAGAUACCCUGGUAGUCCACGCCGUAAACGAUGUCGAUUUGGAGGUUGUGCCCUUGAGGCGUGGCUUCCGGAGCUAACGCGUUAAAUCGACCGCCUGGGGAGUACGGCCGCAAGGUUAAAACUCAAAUGAAUUGACGGGGGCCCGCACAAGCGGUGGAGCAUAUGGUUUAAUUCGACGCAACGCGAAGAACCUUACCAAGUCUUGACAUAAUACGGAGGGAGUUAGAGAUAAUUCCUUAUCACUUCGGUGAGCUGUAUUACAGGUGGUGCAUGGUUGUCGUCAGCUCGUGUCGUGAGAUGUUGGGUUAAGUCCCAUAACGAGCGCAACCCCUAUCGUUAGUUACCAUCAUUAAGUUGGGGACUCUAGCGAUACUGCCGGUGAUAAACCGGAGGAAGGUGGGGACGACGUCAAAUCAUCAUGCCCUUUAUGACUUGGGCUACACACGUGCUACAAUGGCAGAUACAGAGGGCAGCGAAAGAGCGAUCUGAAGCGAAACUCACAAAGUCUGUCCCAGUUCGGAUUGUACUCUGCAACUCGAGUACAUGAAGUUGGAGUUGCUAGUAAUCGCGAAUCAGAAUGUCGCGGUGAAUGCGUUCCCGGGUCUUGUACACACCGCCCGUCACACCAUGGGAGUUGGCAAUACCCGAAGC